rnacentral:rRNA from 1 species
GACGAACGCUGGCGGCGUGCCUAAUACAUGCAAGUCGAGCGCAGGAAACUGACGGAACUCUUCGGAGGGAAGGCAGUGGAAUGAGCGGCGGACGGGUGAGUAACACGUAAGGAACCUGCCUCAAGGAUUGGGAUAACUCCGAGAAAUCGGAGCUAAUACCGGAUAGUUCAACGGACCGCAUGGUCCGCUGAUGAAAGGCGCCCCGGCGUCACCUUGAGAUGGCCUUGCGGUGCAUUAGCUAGUUGGUGGGGUAACGGCCAACCAAGGCGACGAUGCAUAGCCGACCUGAGAGGGUGAUCGGCCACACUGGGACUGAGACACGGCCCAGACUCCUACGGGAGGCAGCAGUAGGGAAUCUUCCACAAUGGACGAAAGUCUGAUGGAGCAACGCCGCGUGAGUGAUGAAGGUUUUCGGAUCAUAAAACUCUGUUGUAAGGGAAGAACACGUACGAGAGGAAAUGCUCGUACCUUGACGGUACCUUACGAGAAAGCCACGGCUAACUACGUGCCAGCAGCCGCAGUAA